GGUCAAUGAUGAUGCCUAAACUUGUCUUAAGGAGAGAUGAUGUCAUAAAAAUCGUGUUCAGAAGGAUUACAAAGAGGACC